CUGCUCAGUUUUCAGACAACACACUCUCUCUCUCAAGAUCAAGAAAUCAUCCUAGAACUUCUCUCAUUUCUGGUUUCCAAUUCCUCUCUUUCUGCUCAGACAACUCACUGCUCAGACAACUCCUCUCUUUCUCCUAAUGUCCACUUGAUUUGAGCUACGUCUUGCACCUGAGUUGGAGGGAGUGUCCAGCUUGAUGCCACUAG